UACAGAGGUGGCUAACGUUGUCCGGAAUUACUGGGUGUAAAGGGCAUGUAGGUGGUUUUGUAAGUCAAAGGUGAAAUGUCUCGGCUUAACCGAGUCACUGCCUUUGAAACUGCAAGACUUGAGUACGGAAGAGGAAAAUGGAAUUCCAAGUGUAGCAGUGAAAUGCGUAGAUAUUUGGAGGAACACCAAUGGCGAAGGCAGUUUUCUGGUCCGAUACUGACACUGAGAUGCGAAAGCCAGGGGAGCAAACGGG
rnacentral:rRNA from 1 species